rnacentral:rRNA from 1 species
UGGGGAAUAUUGCGCAAUGGGCGAAAGCCUGACGCAGCGACGCCGCGUGAGGGAUGAAGGUUUUCGGAUCGUAAACCUCUGUCAGAAGGGAAGAAACCGCACUGUGCUAAUCAGCAGUGCCUUGACGGUACCUUCAAAGGAAGCACCGGCUAACUCCGUGCCAGCAGCCGCGGUAAUACGGAGGGUGCAAGCGUUAAUCGGAAUUACUGGGCGUAAAGCGCACGUAGGCUGCUUUGUAAGUCAGGGGUGAAAUCCCACGGCUCAACCGUGGAACUGCCUUUGAUACUGCUUAGCUUGAAUCCGGGAGAGGGUGGCGGAAUUCCAGGUGUAGGAGUGAAAUCCGUAGAUAUCUGGAGGAACAUCAGUGGCGAAGGCGGCCACCUGGACCGGUAUUGACGCUGAGGUGCGAUAGCGUGGGGAGCAAACAGG